AUUGAACGCUGCGGCAGGCCUAACACCUGCCAGUCGAGCGGAUGAAGGGAGCUUGCUCCUGGAUUCAGCGGCGGACGGGUGAGUAAUGCCUAGGAAUCUGCCUGGUAGUGGGGGAUAACGUCCGGAAACGGGCGCUAAUACCGCAUACGUCCUGAGGGAGAAAGUGGGGGAUCUUCGGACCUCACGCUAUCAGAUGAGCCUAGGUCGGAUUAGCUAGUUGGUGGGGUAAAGGCCUACCAAGGCGACGAUCCGUAACUGGUCUGAGAGGAUGAUCAGUCACACUGGAACUGAGACACGGUCCAGACUCCUACGGGAGGCAGCAGUGGGGAAUAUUGGACAAUGGGCGAAAGCCUGAUCCAGCCAUGCCGCGUGUGUGAAGAAGGUCUUCGGAUUGUAAAGCACUUUAAGUUGGGAGGAAGGGCAGUAAGUUAAUACCUUGCUGUUUUGACGUUACCAACAGAAUAAGCACCGGCUAACUUCGUG
rnacentral:rRNA from 1 species